UACAGGGGGUGCAAACGUUGCUCGGAAUCAUUGGGCGUAAAGCGCACGUAGGCGGUCUGUUAUGUCGGAUGUGAAAGCCCUUGGCUCAACUGAGGAAGUGCAUCCGAAACUGGCAGGCUAGAGUUCGGUAGGGGAGACUGGAAUUCCUGGUGUAGCGGUGAAAUGCGCAGAUAUCUGGAGGAACACCGGUGGCGAAGGCGGCAUCCUGGACCGACACUGACGCUGAGGAGCGAAAGCCAGGGGAGCAAACGGGG
rnacentral:rRNA from 1 species